AGAGUUUGAUCCUGGCUCAGGAUGAACGCUGGCGGCGUGCCUAAUACAUGCAAGUCGAACGGGGUGCAGCAAUGUACCAAGUGGCGAUCGGGUGCGUAACACGUAGCUGACCUACCUCUUGGCGGGGGACAACAGGCCGAAAGGCCUGCUAAUACCGCAUGAUUUCGGGGGGACCAGAUAACCCCGAAGAAACGCGAAAGUGGCCGAGAGAGGGGGCUGCGGCCCAUCAGGUAGUUGGUGAGGUAACGGCUCACCAAGCCGACGACGGGUAGGGGGCCUGAGAGGGUGACCCCCCACACUGGGACUGACAGACGGCCCAGACUCCUACGGGAGGCAGCAGUAAGGGAUAUUGGGCAAUGGGCGAAAGCCUGACCCAGCAACGCCGCGUGGAGGAUGACGGCCUUCGGGUUGUAAACUCCUUUUGUCGGGGACGAGACAAGGACGGUACCCGGCGAAGAAGUCACGGCUAACUACGUGCCAGCAGCCGCGGUAAAACGUAGGUGGCGAGCGUUAUCCGGAUUUACUGGGCGUAAAGCGUGUGCAGGCGGACGGGCAAGUGGUGUAUGAAAGCUCCAGGCUUAACCUGGAGAGGUUAUGCCAGACUGCACGUCUUGAGGCAGAGAGAGGGACAUGGAAUUCCGGGUGUAGUGGUGAAAUGCGUAGAGAUCCGGAGGAACUCCAGAGGCGAAUGCGGUGUCCUGUCUCUGACCUGACGCUCAGACACGAAAGCAUGGGGAGCGAACGGGAUUAGAAACCCCGGUAGUCCAUGCCGUAAACGAUGCAGACUAUGCGUCGGCGGUCUCAACCCCGUCGGUGCCGAAGCUACGCGAUAAGUCUGCCGCCUGGGGACUACGACGCAAGGUUAAACUCAAAGGAAUUGACGGGGCCCGCACAAGCAGCGUAGCGUGUGGUUAAUCGAGGCUACACGAGACGUACCUGGCUUGACUACUGUGGUAGGAAGUGAAAGCGAACG
rnacentral:rRNA from 1 species